rnacentral:lncRNA from 1 species
GCUCAAAAUCAACAAAUUUCAAUGGCCGUAGUGAGCCGUUUGCAAGUUUAACGGUGUAGAAAUAUCCAAAUCACGUGAAAUUUUGAUAGAAAAUUCUUUAUACUAUAUAAAACAAGAUCAAUAUCUUUGAUUUAAAAUUUUAAUGUCAUAUUAUUACAUUUUGUAAAAUUUUUAUUUUCAGCCGUUGAUUUUGAGCCCCUUCGUUCACUAGGCAAAUGAUAUUGUAAAAUCAUAAAAUUUAUUUUCUAGGUACUUAAAAUACUCUAGAUCAAGUUUAAUGGAGCCGAUCGACGAUUCGAAAGUCGCAACAUCGAAAAUGAGCUGGAAGCACGGAAGGUUCCGUGCUUCCGAUAGCAUAGUAGCCUUACUCUCUCUCUCUCUCUCUCUAUAU